rnacentral:pre_miRNA from 1 species
AGGGGAGCGCUGGAUCUUGGGAUGUGUCCCCCAGCACCCUGGGCUCCGGGGCCUGCACUGCUGGAAUCGUAUUCCCGGCGGCUGCGCAGUCCCCU